UGUUCUUGAGUUCAGAACUAGUAGGUAAUGAUAUUAAAAUUCCCAUCAUAUAACUUUGUUCAACGCACGGCAUUCAAUCGCGCUUACGGAGUUUAUUGGGAUGUAGACACUCAUGAGAACAUUUGAGAUGUUGUAGAUCUUCAAAGAUAGCAGGACUUAGUUUAGAUUAGAAUAUCAAAUGAACCAAGCAAGAUAUAGAUCAACGGUAACAACUUCCAUUUCCGAUAUCAGUUUAAUGCAGUAUACGGAGUUUCAUUAUAUGUAUUAAGCUGAUAGUAUGGUAGUCCGAAGCACUUUCUUCCUGGGCAAAGAUGUCCAUAAAGCCACCUGGAGAUCACCCGACUUUCAAACAGAACACCAAAUCGACCACGUUCUAAUCGACGGUACAUCGCUGUAUACAUGCGUUCAAAACAGUUGACGGUUAUUAUUACACGUCGAAGUCGAACGCCGCGGCUCCACAUCGAGCGGCUGCAGAACGCAGAAGUGGCUCAAGACUACGCGCAGCCAGAUAGCAGUGCCCCUACCAACGGAAGAGCAGCUUGGCGCAGCUACACUUGAAGAUGGCUGGAGAGACAUCCGAUCCGCCAUAAGUAGUACCGCACUAGGCUUGGCGACUCCGAAUCCCAGAAACGACGAAUUGAAAAACGAGAAGAAUGCAGCAUGGGCGAGAAAGCUGCAACACCGUACGAGAGCGAAUGAGGCACGUUACAAACAGGCGCGGAACAGGCAGAACUCAGUCUUCCGGAUGAAGAAGCGCCAGCAGGAAGAACGAGAUCGCGAAGCGAUGGAAGAGCUGUACCGCGCUAAGGACACACGAAAGUUCUACGAGAAGCUGAACCGCUCGCGCAAUGGCUUUGUGCCACAAGUCGACAUGUGCCGAGAUAAUCACGGGAAUAUUCUCACGAGCGAGCGUGAGGCGGUCGAGAGGUGGCGACAGCAAUACGAUGAGCACCUCAAUGGCGACGUUGCAAGCACCGACGGUGGCGUAUUAAAAGAUCUAGGAAUACGUGCGCAGGACGAAAAACUUCCGGCCCCUAACCUUCAAGAGAUUGAGGAGGAGGUUGACCGGUUGAAAACAACAAAGCCGCUGGAGCAGCUCAACUACCAAGCGAGCUUUUAAAAUACGGAAAGAAGCACUGGUGAGAGCACUACAUUGGAUCAUUAGCAAGAUUUGGGAGAAGGAAGUAUUACCGGAGGAAUGGAUCGAAGGUAUCGUGUGUCCCAUCUACAAAAAGGGCGACAAUUUGGAUAGCGGGAACUAUCGCGCGAUCACACUACUGAACGUUGCCUACAAGAUACUUUCUCAAAUUUUAUGCCGCCGCCUAUCACCCAAUGCAAGAGAGUUUAUAUCAGGCUGAAUUCAUGGGUGAACGCGCUACAACGGACCAGAUGUGUCCUCCAGGUUUUGCAGAAAUGCCGCGCAUACAACGUGCCCACACAUCACUUGUUCAUCGAUUUUAAACCGGCGUAUGAUACAAUCGAUCGAGAUCAGCUAUGGCAGAUUAUGCACGAGUACGGAUUUCCGGAUAAACUGACACGAUUGAUCAAAGCGACGUGCGUAGUUCAAGUAUCAGGGACACUCUCGAGUCCCUUCGAAUCUCGCAGAGGGUAACGGCAAGAUGAUGGUCUUUCCGUUUUUGCUGCUCAACAUUGCGUUAGAAGGUGUAAUAAGGAGAGCGGGGAUAAACACGAAUGGUAUUGUUCGUGCAGUUGAAAAUCGGAAUUUUCGACACGCGAAAUUCGAUUUUUCUGCUAAACCGUGUGUCGGACGUACGUCGGGCACAGUGCGCUGGAUAAGGACUGUAUCGGAAAUUAACUAUAAACGUUCCCAACUGCCUGAAAAAUAAUCUGUUUGAAAUAAACAUAACUUUAUUCUUGGAGAUACUAUGUAAAUCUCUUAAGUAAAGAAUGGCAGUUCUGAUUUUCAAAAAAUAAUCAUUUAACUUGGACUUUGUUUUUAUAAUAAUCAUUCAACUUGGACACAUGUUUUUAAAAUUUUGGACAUCUCCUAAAAGUUUUAAAUAGCGAAAACUGUGGGAAUUUCUCUUAUUUUUGCGCAAAUAUAUUCUUUUCCAUAAUGCUCAUGAUAUAGGAAAAUUAUUUUCAUCAAGAAAAAUUCCCUCAGCAGUUUAGGGCAAUUCUUAAAAAUGAAAAAAGGCCAUGGCCAAUGGCCUUCUUAAAAAUGAAAAAAGGCCAAUGAAAAGGCCAGGCAACCAAGCCACGCAAAUAAAAAAUACAUAAAGUUAAAAAUUUGCAUUUUUUUCGAUUGGGUAUGUAUUUAAAUCUAUUGAAGAGGUAGUUUUACCAGAGAACGGAAUUUUAUAACCUCUAAAGAUAUUAAAAACAGAGCGUCAAAGUUCGACCAAAAAUUAUGUGUUUUUUAGGGAUAGACCAAAUUCUUAAUGUUGGAGGUUUUUCUAUCCAAAAUAAGUAUUUCAAAAGUCGGUUUUGAGUGAUAUGUUAUGUGUACAUAACUGCUAGUAAUAAUCAUUAUUUUCCAGAUUUAUCCCCGUACAAGUUUUUUUCGCUACAAAUGUUUGAAACGUUGAAAAAAUUUAAAAAAAAUGCAGUUUGCACAGAUUGUUAUUUUGUGUGGUAUACUCAUAGAACCAUAUUUUCAAUAAUACUAAACAUAUUCCAAAUUUCUUCAAGCUGUCCUAAACUUUGCUAUAUUGUGAAAAUUUUAUAGAAGAACCGGAAUGAAAAGACCAACCGUGCGUCGAGAUUGAGCAUUUUAAAUGUUUAUAGUUAAUUUCCGAUACAGAUAUAGAGGGCCAGGUCCGCUGUCCAGCGCCCUACGUCCGACGUUAGGUUUCACGUAUGGAUUUUGAGAAAAUUCGAUUGUCGGGUGUGGGGUAUCUACGGGUUUCAACCGCGACGACAAUACGAUUUUGACGGAGUCCGUUCAGCUGCUUGGUUUCGCUGAUCAUAUUGAUAUUAUAGCUCGCAAAUUUGAGACGAUGGCGGAAACGUACAUCCGACUAAAGAAUGAAGCCAGGCGAAUGGAAUUAGUCAUUAAUGUGUAAGACAAAGUAUGCGAUGGCAAAGGACUCUAAAGAGGAUUUUAUGCAAUUCAGUAUCAUAAUUUACAUUUUAUCUAACUUAUUUUGGUAUCAUAAUGGCUAUUUUUUCCGAACUGGUUCAUUAUGCAACUGAAAUGAGUUGCAUAAUGAAAAAUAGUUGUAUAAUAUUCAUAAUGCAACUCAUUUGAGUUGCAUUAUGAAUAUUAUGCAACUCAAAUGAGUUGCAUUAUGAAAAAAUCAUUGCAUAAAAUUUUGUAUGGAACUCGUUGCAAAACUCGAUUUUUUCAGCACUCUUCGUAGGGUAACGGUUGAAUUUUGGACCCCUAGAGGACAUUAGUUUGAAUUUAAGUCAAAAUCAAACAGAUUCAGAGAGUAUUUACACAUAAUAAUAAUGUUAGUAUAUUCGUAAAAGCCUCCACUGUCCGUUAAAAAUACCCACAAAGUCAUUUCUGGCUGAAAAUUUGAUGAAAAUAACUGAUUUUUGAAGCAUCAGUUUUCACUGUUUUGGACACCCCAAUAUAUUUUGGACCCUCCUCAGUAUAUAUUUUGGACACCCGGUGUUUAAACUCGUUUGAAACUAUUUUGGAACAUUUUGCCGCUUGAAUAUGCUGGAUCACAUCCUAAUUACUUGAUUGACAAAGGCUGAUUAGACGAACAUUGCGAAUUUAAUGCGCUAGAAUGAUAAACAUUUUUGUUUACAUCUGCAAGUUUCCUCAACACCGCAAUCUCUUUUUGUAAACAUGAACGAUACUCGCACGGAUGACGAGAUUGGCAAAAAUUAAUUUCAAGGCAAACAAGGAUAUUUCCAGUAAGGAAAAGAUUGCUGCCCGUGCAGAGCAAUCUUAUUUAGCGAAUGAUUUUAAAAAUUUCCGUCAUCCUAUCAUUAAACCUGUGUAAGUUGUGAUAAUACGACCCAGGGGGUCCAAAAUAUAUGGGGGUCCAAAUUAUAUUGGUUACCCUAUUUAUCCAACUCGGCGAGCCUCGUUGGAUACAUGUACGACUCGUGCUGAAAAAAUCAACUUUUUGCAACUCGUUACAUAAAUAACUAUUAUAUUCUUAAGGACUGUAUCGUUAAUUAUGAGUACACCUUAAGGACAGACUUGUUAGAAUCCCAAGAUGGCCGCCACAAUGGCCGACUUUGGUACCUACUCACGAUUUCGAGGGCACAAAUCUCUUCGUAAACAAAACCAGCGCACCUGAGCUUCUCAUUUUAAGCUUAUUACAAGUGAGCAAGAACAUAAUAAUAAAAUGCAUUGUUGUUUGAAGCUUGCUUCUUGAGAUUUGUGCGUGUGAAGUAUUGAUGCACUGUUGAAGCGGGAUUUCAAGACGUUUGUCCUUAAAAUUGCUGUAUUUCAAAAUGUUUUAUUUAUUUUGUAAAUUAAAUUCAAUUACAUUGUUCAUUGACCAUCAGAAAAGCCCAUGACAUGAUUGUAUAUUUAAUUUUUCAUGGAUCUUGCCACCUCUCGCACUUUCUUCUUGGCGUGCUUCAUAAGAUUUUGGACAACCGUUCCGACGAUGGUUUUGCAUACGUUGACCCAGUUUUUCUUGAAUUUUGUGACGUCCUCUGCUCCUCUAUCCUUUUUCCGUAGUUUCCCUUUCAUCAUAGUUAACUAUUUCUCAAUGGGCCUUAUUUACGGGCAAUUUAGAGGAUUCAUUGCCUUUUCCACAAAUUGAACAUUGUUUCCUUCAUACCUGUCAAAGGUGUCACGCGCAUAGUGGCAGGAUGCCAAAUCCGGCCAAAGUAAUGUAGGACCUUUGUGCUUUCAGAUGAGUGGCAGAAUAUGUUUCUGGAGACAUUCCUUCCGGUAUAUUUCGACGUUCAUACCUGGGACGGUGAAGAUAGGUGACGAUUUCAUACCACAUUGACAAAUUGCUUGCCUAACCAACACAUUUUCCCAUUUUUUUCGCAAAAAUUCGAUUUCUCCUAAUUCGUAACAUCCGUGCCAUGCUUAACAGUGAAAAUCCGUGCCCCUGGAAAUACCUUGUAGUCCAAUUUGACAUACGUUUCAUCAUCCAUGAAUAUGCACAUGCAAUUUUUGCUCAAAACAUCGUCGUACAGCUUCCAAGCCUGAGUUUUCACAUAAUCCGCCAGAAUUUGACUGCGUUUUGGACAUUUCUGUUUUGGGUACCCGUAUAAAAAUGAACCAUUGGAUUUUCUGUUGAUACCAUUGGUUUACAAUAGAAAGUACCGUCCACAUAAAAAUGUAUUGUUUUUCAAAUGUCAAAAAUAUAUUUGCAAAUUGUAUCUACAAUACAAAACAUAACAUUUUUAUGUAACAAUAUAUUGUAUUGCUUUGCAUAUGUUUUACCAUACGCAUUUUAUUUUUUUUUCCGUGUGUUUUUAUCAUCAAAUUUUGGGCAUUUAUUUUUACCGUGCAUGUUUUGGUGUCAUGUCUCAGAAAAAAAACAAAAAGUGUAGCGGUUGUGCUUCUUCCCGUCCGAGUUCCCGUCCGUAUUCCCAGUGGACCCAGACUAGAACCGGUAAAGGGAAUCCUCCGGAGCGUGUCCAGCUGUCUUAACGGAAGCCAUCGCCGUCCACGAAGUGUACUGGAUCAAUGUGAUUGCCGGAGGAAUCUUCUGAUGCGGGCGAGGAUGCGGGGUAGCAGGAAAAUACUGAGAAAGGUUUGAUAAAGGUAAUUCAUGUUCCAAAUCGAUUUGCUGCGGAAGAUCUGGAGAAUGCGGUACACUUGCGACCCCGGACGAUGCUAAAUACCAGACUGCCGGCAAGACGAGCAGCAUAAUGCAAUCGGUUUUCAUCAGAGCUCGAUUUGCGGACAAGGAAACACGAGCAACUGGAGCUCAUUCCCGGCGACGUAAUGCGGAACACGGAUGGAAGAUUUCCGGAAGCAAAUUGGUUUAGGAAGGACGUUACUUGAAAUGUAUUAGCCUUAUGGUUUUACGGUAAGGGGCGAGUGGGGUGGAGUGCUAAGAAGGGGCUGGCGUUGUCGAAGUAAGACCCGAUGCACACGAACUACCAUCAUAAAUUUUGUGAAAGCGCCUAGCGUGAGUUAUCUAUUGUAACAAGCAUUAAAAAAACUUUACUGCGCUAUCUAUUGCAUUAGGACAUUGAGCAAUCCGUAUAUUUGAAGGGCUAUUCAAACUAGAAGCUUGUGUAGUCAAAAUUUAAAGGACUUAUAAUCUGUACAAUGAUGUAUGCGUCGUUUUGGGAAACAAGUCCCAAAAUGACACACAAAUAUAUCAUUGUAUUAAAAUCAUCUUUUGCAUUUGAACGAUCUUCUAAUAUAGGUUCCAGCUGUAGUAUAUCGAGUUUUUUCAAGUGCUGCAAUAAUGAUUAAGCACGCUGUAAUGUUACUUUUGUACCUCAUCACCCACUAAAUGCAACUACAUUAGUGGUCUAAUAACACUUAGCGCGCUUCGGCACGGUUCCAUCACGCCGCUUAUGGUGUUGCCACAUAUAAUGCUUAGUCUGCUAAACCCAGUUAUCUGGCUGUGGGGCAUGGGAGCUUAAGCUUCAACCACAAAUGCAAUUAAACAUUACUCGAUUUACAACACGAGUGUUCUAAAUAUUCGAUAAUUGUUCGAUCUGUGCUCUUAAAAUGUAGCUUGAAAUAUACAAGCUUUUAGCCCAAAUGUAUAAUGAUAGUUCAGUUUCGCUUUAUUCGAGUUUUUUCUAGCAGUCAGUAACAAAAUCAAUAAGCAGAAAUAGAUUAAACCAUUUCAAAAUCAGUAUAUACUUUUGUAAAAUUAAACUAUUCCAAAAUAUCAGAAUAUUCUGUUUCACAAUAGAAAACAAUACAAAGGAAUACGUUCACCAUACAUUUCACUGUCGAAAAUAAUUUGAAAACAUAAGAAUCUUCUGUUUCACAAUGGAAAACAAUACUCAAACCAUAGAAUUCUAUGUAAAAACAGUACAAACAUAAUGUUCGGAUUCACAAAAGAAAACAAUUACAAAACAAUUGAAUCUAAUGUGGAGCCAGUUAUAAAGUCACUGCUCAAAGGAAUACGUUUACUAUACAUUUCACUGUCUAAUACAAUUUGAAAACAUAAGAAUCUUCUGUAUCACAAUAGAAAACAAUACCCAAAUCAUAGAAUUCAAUGUAAAAACAGUACAAACAGAAUGUUCUGUUUCACAAUAAAAAACAAUUCCAAAACCAUUGAAUCAAAUGUGGAACCAGAAAUAAAACAAUCUGAAAACAAUACGUUUACUAAGAAUUUUACUGUUUGAAACAAUUCAAAAACAUAAGAAUCUUCUGUAUCACAAUAGAAAACCAUCCCCAAACCAUUAAAUCUAAUGUAAAAUCAUAGUUCAAAACAGAAUGUUCUCGGCUUAUUUAACUGUUCAAAACAAUACAAAUACAUAAAAAUCUUCUGUAUAUUUGGUUGGACAUAUCGGCAUCACUGACAUUUAAUUUACAAUAGAAUCUUAUGUUUUGCGAAAAAACUAGUAUGGAAAAAAGUCAUUUUUUGUAUUGUUACGAUACUUAACAACCUAUACAAUUCAAUGUGAAAUGCUCAUUCACAAUUGAUUCUAUUGUUAGAAACAUUCGAUUCUAUUGUUUUUCUAUUGUUAUUUUAACAUUGAAUUCUAUUGUGAAACAAUGGUUUUUAAUGGUACUGUUACAUUGGAAUCCUAUGUUUUUCUAUUGUAUUUUUUAUCCGGGUAGGUCUUCGGGGAAUUACGUUCCUUGGCGCGUUGAACCAUACCAACAGUCGUUUCACACUUUUUUGCUUAAUCUCUAAUGGAUACCUCCUAUUUUCCUUCAACGAUUUUGCAAGUUUUGCUGUCCAAAUGUGACUUGGACGCACCUGUUUUUUGCCGCGUCCGGGUAAGUCUUUCAGUGUGCUAUGCAUACCGAAUCGUUUGAUAGCAUUUUGGACAACAAAAACCCUAACACAUUCAAUUUUUGCUAAUUUUCUUAGCGAUGAUCAUUUUUCCUUGCAGUGCCUGGUCACAAUCGAUUUUCGCUUCUCCUCCGUAAACCCUCGCAUUGUUCCACUUGAGGAAAAACUUUAACUUUUAAUGAAGGUUAUCGUUUGUUUACAACGUUAGCAACACAUAGACACAAAGCAGUUAACAAAAUAAGGCAUAGUCUUUUUAAUACAGAGCCUCAAAGGUGUACUCAUAAUUAACGAUACAGUCCUUAGAUAGGUGAUUUCGAAUACUUUGACCCAUUCUCACCCCCUCUAAGGGGUGAGAUUGGGUCAAUUUUCAAUCAUUUGUAGUUUACUAAGCAAUUCAUAUAACGUGAUACUUUCUUGCUAAACUAUUGUCGCGCUUAUCUUUUAUUAGAGUCCUGCGGCGGUCGUACGCUCGCAAAGCAUACCGCCGCAUGACAGUCGCAAGGCAAAUCAAAAGAAAAAGUGUUCCCGUUAAAAACAAAAGCACGUGGAUUUCGCGACGUGACAGAUGUUUUUGAAUGUAUUUGUGACGAACGGCAAGAGUGGCUCAGUGGAAUGAGUGUUCUUGCUGUCAAACCCCAUUUAAUGGAAUUAUAUACUUUUAAAUCUGGUGACGCUGUUAUGAUUAGUGACUGUCGCGCUAAUAUCAGAAGCUAGAGGCAGAUAAUCGCCAUAUUCUGAUUUUUCUUGAUAUGCAUAAUAUCAUUACCACAUAGGAGAGUAUACAUACCAAAUAAUAGUAGUUUACGCAACAAGGUGCAGAAUGAUGAUUUUUACAGCACGAGCCGUACAUUUAUCCAACGAGGCUUGCCGAGUUGGAUAAUUACGAUGAGUGCUGUAAAAAUCGAGUUCUGCACCGAGUUGCGUACAACGUUUUUUGCAACUUCAUAAAUUACCACUUGAGGAUAGUUUUUAACAAAACUUUUUCAUCAGACUGCACGCUGAUGUACAUAGUCAUGAUUAAGGAAGUCUGAUCAUAGCAGGUUAUACUGUGCAGAUGUUCAGGCCCGGAUUUAAGGAGGGGCAUAGGGGGCAAGUGCCCCGGGCCCCCCGAUGAAGGGGGCCCCCCAAGAAUCCGAAACACAAUUUAUAUUUUUCAACGAAACCAUAUAAAAUUCACGUCAAUGGGCGUUCAUAUUUUAAACAGGGCCCCUAUAGCCACAGCUGUUAAGGCGUGGAUAUUCAGCAUGACCAUUCUAAGGGUGACGCGUUCAGUUCCCGGUCGGUCCAGGAACUUUUCGUAAAGGAAAAUCCUUGACUUCCUCAGGUAAAGAGUGUCUUCGUGCCUGCCACACGAUAUACACAUACGAAAUGGUCAUUGAUAAAGGAAACUCUUUGUUAAUGACAGUUCCACAGUUACUGUGGAAGUGCUCAUGAAACACUAAGGUGAGAAGCAGUGUCCCAGUGAGGACGUCACAUAAAAAAAAGAACCUAUAAUUAGGUUCCUAAAUGUAUCUUAAUUAUUUCUGGCCAUUUAUCUGGAUUUUCUCUUAACCCUUCA